GCUGCACGUUCAGUGUAAUGUCCCUUUGCAAUGAUGCGAUCAAAGAGCUCACCCCCUGCACACAACUCCAUAACCAAAUGAACAGAUUGUUUGUCUUCAAAAACACUGACAAGCUCCACAAUGUUGGGCUGCCCUGAGAGAUGGCAUAUUGCUUUCCUGUGCUCUUGUGUGUGCACAAAUGUGUGACACCAAACUGGCCUCUCCCCAGCUCUUUCCCCAUGCUGUAAGUACUUCUAACAUCCUCCAUGGGCCUUCCAAGAACAGGCCCAAUGGGGGCAGGCUUGGAGUGCUUGGUGGGAGGAUGGUUAGGCUUAGAUUGUGGAGGGGUGGUUGCCGUUCCCCCUUGGUUGUCGUUUUGUUGGUUGGUUUCUCCCUUGUUUUCAGAAUCAUUGGUGCCACCUGAGCAACAGUUGCCCAUGGUGGAAUGGAAGGGAGAACAGGAACAAAAGGGGUGGAGGGAAAGGAAAGGAUGUGAGUUGAUAGAUAUAGGUGAAGGUGGUGUGAUUUGAGGGCUGAAAAAUUAUGUUGUAUUUGUUUUCUGGAGAGAAGGUGUUAGCAUUAGGGAGGGGAAGUGUCUGUUGUUGGAAAAGAGGUAAAAAAAAUUGUCUAAAAAAAAGGUAUGGGGAAAUUUGAAAGGGUGUUAAAAGGGGUGUUGGUGAAGAGAAUUAGAGGGAGCAAAUUAAGAGUCUUUGGCUUGUCUCUUCCUUUGGAAAAGGCUGACUUUUUUAUUCAGACAAUGGUGGCCAGCAUUUCUCGGAACAGGUGGGAGCUGAGAAGGAACCAUUUGAAGGGGUCCAUGCAUAAAUGAGUAAGCCAAAAAUGAGAAUGAUGGCCCCUGUCAUAAAACCUGCUGGAAGAGAGGAGGCAACACCAAGGUAUGGCAAUGGCAUGGUGAACACAUAGAUUGAUAUUGGAACUGCCACAACAAAAAGCCACAUUCUAUCAAUUGGGUCCAUACAAUAAUUUUAUCAAACAGCUUGCAUACCUGAAAAUGUGGAAGCAAGACAAGAUACAACAGCAGAAGAGAUUUUGAGGAGAUGAAGCAGUGCAAUGUUGAAACCAAUGUUUACAAUAAUAAACAACAGAGGCAGC